AGCUUUGCACAGUGGCAGUAUCGUAGCCAAUGAGGUUUAUCUGAGGCACGAUUAUUGUUAAUUGAAAACUUUUCCCAAUACCCUGUCAUGACGACUUGAAAUAUACUCGGCAUUGGCAAUUUUUGACAGUCUCUAUGGAGA
rnacentral:snRNA from 1 species